rnacentral:lncRNA from 1 species
UUUUUUUUUUUUAAAGACUUUAUUUAUUUAUUCAUGAGAGACACAGAAGGAGAGAGAGAGGAAGAAACACAGGCAGAGGGAGAAGCAGGCUCCAUGCAGGGAGCCCGGUGUGGGACUCGAUCCCGGGUCUCCAGGAUCACACCCUGGGCUGAAGGCAAUGCUAAACCUCUGAGCCACGGGGCUGCCCAACUUUUAUUCCUUUUAUAUUAAAACUAACUGGCUCAGAAGGUUUUUAAAGUAUCAAGCGCUAUGCUUAAACUGAAAAUAUUUCUUAAUAUAUUUUUAUCUUGAAAUAAUAAAAAUUAAGGACAUUAAAAGGAAAUUUCUUCAUGUAUGGUUGAACAGCUUAUAAAAGCAUCUAUGGAUCACUGUAUUCUAAAUUCAGCUUACUCAUCACUUUCCUUCAAUGACACUAUCAUUGAAGAACAAAGACCAGGAGCAACUAAUUUUAACUUCCUCCAGAGUACUUUCUGUUAAAGCCUCUGAAUUUCCUGAUCCAGUAGAAAGAAGUCUGCCAUCUAUGUUUUCCAUUCCAAGAGUGUCAAUUACAUUAUAAAACCUGUUAAAGAGCAUAGGAUUACUAGCUAGGACAUUUAGAAACAAAUUUGUAUCUGUAAGGAUUGCAGUCCCAACAGAGUGCUAAUCCCAUUACCUAAGGAAAGGUUUGAGGUUGACUCUCUAAAUGGAUUGUAAGAGGCAGGCAAUCACUGGUGCCUCUCAAACAUGUUCUCUGCAAAGGGCACCAAGAGCUCGCAGUGGCUUCAAAUGUUUUCUCAUUGCAGAAUUUCUUUUUAAAAAUUGACCUUAUAUCUAUAGAGUCAAAAAAGCUUCCCUUAUUUUAUGCCAAAUACACCAACAAAACAAUUUAAAUUGUAAUUAAUUAUGGCACACUGUAAAUGAUGAAAAAAUCCUGGACAUCCAUUCCUCUUUUAAAGUCUCCUGCAUCAGAGAGCUAAAAAAUUACAUACAGAGGGGACAUUAUGUCUUCAGGAAGAAAGCUGCUCAUUCUACAUAAAUUCUUAGUUUAAAAAUUACUCUAAUUUACAAGGAAGUGUGAGCAGUAACAAAUCUUCAAGUGAAAAUAAGGACCUACUAGAAUAGACUUCAAAUAUCUUAAAAUAAAAUUUUAUGACAUUAUUUUAAAUCUCCAGAGGACAAUAGAUUUGUAGACACUUAGCAAAAAUAGUAAGUUAUAAUAGCAAGUAACAUUUCUGAAGCUUCCUACUUUGUAAUAGUUUGCAAAUACUGGAUUUUUUUCUUUAUUUUAAAUCAUGAAAAACAUGGUUUUAUUGGGUUAAGUAAUUUAUCCAAAACUACAAUUCCAGAAAGCACUAAAGUGAGAAUUCAAAUCCAGGCUUUGCUAUUCAUAAAAUCAUUUUCACAAUCUCAUCUCUCAUAAGACUCUAACCCUAGAAAGUGGUUUAUUCCCAUAUUUACCCUUAUUACCUGUGGUGUGAAAUUGAGACUCAAAGAAGUUCCAUGACUUGGUCAAGUUCACACAGCCUAUACUCUUGGAACUUGAAUUCUGGGCUACAUUAAACGGGUCUCCUGGCACCACUUUAGAUGGUCUUUCUAGCAUAUCAUGCUGCUGUUAAAAUCUGGCAUUAGAUAUUUGAUCUCUUACAAAAGCAAACAGUAAAUGGCCAGGUUCCUAUUAAACAUGCCAUUGAUUCUCUUCUGAUUCUGUUCUCUUAAACUAUUAAGGAUAUAUUUGAUUUAGGUAAUAUUUAAUUCCUUACCCAAGGCUUAGAUCUAAAUUUUGCAAUGUUGAACAAAAGAUAACAGCAUUACAGAAUCUAAAAACCACUUGUAUCUAGGGAGAUCCAUUAUCUGAGGUUUCUUCUCAGAAGUCCUAUACGGGAAGGUUUGAUAUUUAAAAUAAAAUUAUUAGCCAUUUAAUUCACAUAUUUGAGGAUGGCUUAAAUUAGAUCCUUACAUUUUCUGUUAACUUGCACAAGAGGCUGACAUGUUACCAGUCGGGAGCCUGAGGGCUCCCAAAGAGCAUCAUUGCUCAAGAAGAAAAAGCAUUUGCUCUCCAGCUGUUGAGCUUCUUGAGCCUUAGAAAGCCCACAGAGGCCUUCUGUCAAAUAGGUACCCGUAUCGGUAGUGGGUAAUUUCUUAUUCCUGACCAUUUCAGCAUCUGACGCAGUCUGAAGAAGUCUAACUUGCCAUCCAGACAUAGGUUUUUAGAUCAGCAACAAUAUGCUAACUAUAUUUAACUACAUGGACUAGAACACAAAAGUGUUUGUUUUUAAAAAGCCCUUAUUCCAUAAAGUUUAUAUUUCUUAAUAAAAGGAUAAGGUCAAAAGGGCUCAUAAAAUUUUAAGCAUUUAUUUCAACUCCCAUAAAACUGUAUUUAACAAUUCUAAAGCUUCCUUUUCCUUGUGGAAGAUAAAAAAAACAUUUAGCAGGUAUUAAGCAGGAAGCAUUCCGACUUCACCGAUACAGUGGUUACAGCAAAACGGUAAACUUAAUAACAGGAAAAGUAUCCAGAUGCCAGCUAUCACAGUUAUAUAUGGCACCAAUUAAUUACACUCAGCUUUUUAAUAUCGUAAGUGUUGGGAAAAUAUUUAAAGACUAAAACUUGGAGGAUUCUAUAUUUGGUGUGAGGGAGUUUAAAUACACAGUGACUAUUC